rnacentral:rRNA from 1 species
ACAGAAUGGCUACUGUGCCAUCUGGUGAAUAGCUCGGCUCGAGAGCCGAUGACGGACGUGUCAAGCAGCGAAAUGCUCCGGGGAGCCGCAAGAAGGCAAAGAACCGGAGAUCUCCGAAUGGGAAUCCCCACAGCAAUUGCCUUGCGCAAUGGGGAACGCUCCGAAUUGAAACAUCUCAGUAGGAGCAGGAACAGAACGCAACAGCGAUGUCGUCAGUAACGGCGAGUGAACGCGACACAGCCCAAACCGAAGCCCGUGCGGGUUCGCCCGCGCGGGCAAUGUGGUGUUCGGGCUGGUCACAACCGGGAGUAGAGACGCGAGAAGUCUUCUGGAACGAAGCGCGAAACAGGGUGACAGCCCCGUAUCGCGUCGACGCUCCCGCGGACCGGUACCAGAGUAGCAGGGGUUGGAUAUCCUCUGUGAACAACCCAGGCAUCGACUGGGAAGGCUAAACACUCCUCGAGACCGAUAGCGAACAAGUAGCGUGAGCGAACGCUGAAAAGCACCCCGAGAAGGGCGGUGCAAAGGGCUUGAAAUCAGAUGGCGAUAGAGCGACGUGGCACGAAAGGCCGAUCGGGAAACGACCGAGGGGCGACCUUCCAGUAGAAGUCGAUCGGAGCCGGUGUUGCGUCGUACGUUUUGAAAAACGAACCAGGGACUGUACUUGCUUGGCGAGUCUAACCGGAGAAUCCGGGGAGGCGAAGCAAACGCGACAGGGCCGCAGCACGUUUCGACGUGUGAGGGCCGCCGUGUUCAAGCGCGGGGAGUCAAGCGGGUACGACCCGAAACCAGGUGAUCUACGCAGGGGCAGGGUGAAGCGUGGCGAAAGCCACGUGGAGGCCCGUUAGAGUUGGUGUCCUACAAUACCCUCUCGUGACCCGUGUGUAGGGGUGAAAGGCCCAUCGAACCUGGCAACAGCUGGUUCCGACCGAAACAUGUCGAAGCAUGACCUCCGUUGAGGUAGCUCGUGGGGUAGAGCGACCGAUUGGAUGACCCGCCACCGAGAGGUGUCGGCCAUCCUGUCGAACUCCGAACCUACGGGCGCCGUGGACGCGGGGAGUCCGGUGUGCGGGGUAAGCCUGUGCACCGUAAGGGAGACAACCCAGCGCUAGGUUAAGGACCCAAAAUGUGGACUAAGUGCGAUCGAAGGUGGUCUCGAGCCCCAGACAGCCGGGAGGUGAGCUUAGAAGCAGCUACCCUCCAAGAAAAGCGUAACAGCUUACCGGCCGAGGUUCGAGGCGCCGAAAAUGAUCGGGGCUCAAGUCCACUUGCGAGACCUGGCGGCACCCGAGAGGGUGAUCCAGUAGGUCGGCGUCGCGGUCGGGUGGAAGUACGGGCGAGGGCUCGUAUGGACCGACCGGGAACGAAAAUCCUGGUCACAGUAGCAGCGAAAGUCGGGUGAGAACCUCGACGGCCUCAAGAGCAAGGGUUCCUCGGCACUGUCAGUCAGCCGAGGGUUAGCCGAUCCUAAGUCUCCUCGUAAGACGCGGGAGACGACAGGGGAACUGGUUAAUAUUCCAGUGCCGCUCCACAGUGAAAGCCGACGCCUGAGGAAACCUCGAGCUGGGCCAUCGCCCAGUCGAACCGGAGAAGAUCGUGGACGCCGUCACGGCAGGAAGCGAUCGAAGCCCGGGAUAGGGAAACUCGAGGGUACCUGGGGCCCGUGAAAAGGCGAGUGGAGUGAUCGUACCGAGAUCCGACACAGGUGCUCGGCCGGAGAAAGGCAAGGCCUGUCGGGAGAACCGGCGUUAGGGAAUUCGGCAAGUUAGUCCCGUACCUUCGGAAGAAGGGAUGCCUGCUUUGCAGAGAGCAGGUCGCAGUGACUCGGGCGCUCCGACUGUCUAGUAACAACACAGGUGACCGCAAAUCCGCAAGGACGCGUACGGUCACUGAAUCCUGCCCAGUGCGGGUAUCUGAACACCUGGUACAACAGGACGAAGGACCCGUCAACGGCGGGGGUAACUAUGACCCUCUUAAGGUAGCGUAGUACCUUGCCGCUUCAGUAGCGGCUUGCAUGAAUGGAUCAACGAGAGUGCCACUGUCCCAACGCUGGACCCGGUGAACUGUACGUUCCAGUGCGGAGUCUGGAGACCCCCAAGGGGAAGCGAAGACCCUAUAGAGCUUUACUGCAGGCUGUCGCUGGGACGUGGUCGCUGAUGUGCAGAAUAGGUAGGAG